rnacentral:rRNA from 1 species
GAUGAACGCUAGCUACAGGCGUAACACAUGCAAGUCGAGGGGUAACGAGAGGAAAGCUUGCUUUCCUUGUCGACGACCGGCGCACGGGUGAGUAACGCGUAUGCAACCUACCUUCAUCUGGGGGAUAGCCCGGAGAAAUCCGGAUUAAUACCGCAUAAAAUCACAGGAUGGCAUUAUCCAAUGAUCAAACAUUUAUGGGAUGGAGAUGGGCAUGCGUGUCAUUAGCUAGUUGGCGGGGUAACGGCCCACCAAGGCGACGGUGACUAGGGGAUCGGGGGGGAUGGCCGCCCACACUGGUACUGGGACACGGACCAGACUCCUACGGGAGGCAGCAGUAAGGAAUAUGGGUCGAUGGAGGCAACUCUGAACCAGCCAUGCCGCGUACAGGAAGACUGCCCUAUGGGUUGUAAACUGCUUUUAUUCGGGAAUAAACCUUAUUACGUGUAAUAAGCUGAAUAUACCGAAGGAAUAAGGAUCGGCUAACUCCGUGCCAGCAGCCGCCGUAA